CCUACGGGGGGCUGCAGUGAGGAAUAUUGGUCAAUGGGCGGGAGCCUGAACCAGCCAAGUCGCGUGAGGGACGACGGUCCUAUGGAUUGUAAACCUCUUUUGUCGGGGAACAAAGUCGCCCACGGGUGGGCGGAUGAGUGUACCCGAAGAAAAAGCAUCGGCUAACUCCGUGCCAGCAGCCGCGGUAAUACGGAGGAUGCGAGCGUUAUCCGGAUUUAUUGGGUUUAAAGGGUGCGUAGGCGGCCAGUCAAGUCAGCGGUAAAAGUGCGGUGCUCAACGCCGUACAGCCGUUGAAACUGGCAGGCUGGAGUGGGCGAGAAGUAUGCGGAAUGCGUGGUGUAGCGGUGAAAUGCAUAGAUAUCACGCAGAACUCCGAUUGCGAAGGCAGCGUACCGGCGCCCGACUGACGCUGAGGCACGAAAGCGUGGGUAUCGAACAGGAUUAGAUACCCCAGUAGUC
rnacentral:rRNA from 1 species